rnacentral:lncRNA from 1 species
UUAAAUAACUCAACCCCGUGAGAUUAUUAAUUGACAGCGGUAGUUCUUUAAUUUUUGACCCGGAUAAAUCAAGCUCUUCUAACUCCUCAAUACCUUCUAAAAUCUCUGGAAACAUCUCAAGAUUGGAGCAGUCAUAAAGAUUAAGGGUUUUGAGAGAUUUCAUACGAAUGCUGCUUGGAAGACUCUUAAGUUCCACGCAAUGUUUUAGGUUCAAAUGACUCAACCCCGUGAGAUUAUUAAUUGACAGGGGCAGUUCUUUAAUUUUGGACCCGGAUAAAUUAAGCUCUUUUAAUCCCUCAAUAACUUCUGAAAUCUCUGGAAACAUCUCAAGAUUGGUGCAGCCAUAAAGCUUAAAGGUUUUGAGAGAUUUCAUACGAAUGCUGCUUGGAAGACUCUUAAGUUCCACGCAAUGUUCUAGGUUCAAAUGACUCAAUCCCGUGAGAUUAUUAAUUGACAGGGGCAAUUCUUUAAUUUUGGACCCAGAUAAAUUAAGCUCUUCUAACUCCUCCAUACCUUUUGAAAUCUCUGGAAACAUCUCAAGACUGGAGCAACCAAAAAGAUUAAAGGUUUUGAGAGAUCUCAUACGAAUCUUGCUGGGUAGACUCUUAAGUUGCUUGCAAUGUUUUAGGUUGAAAUGACUCAACCCCGUGAGAUUAUUAAUUGACGGGGGUAGUUCUUCAAUUUUUGCCCCGGAUAAAUCAAGCUUUUCUAACCCCUCAAUACCUUCUGAAAUCGAUGGAAACAUCUCAAGACUAGAGCAGCCAUAAAGAUUAAAGGUUUUUAGACAUUUCACAUGAAUGCAGCUUGGAAGACUCUUAAGUUCCUCGCAAUGUUUUAGUUUGAAAUGACUCAACCCCGUGAGAUUAUUAAUUGACAGGGGCAGUUCUUUAAUUUUGGACCCGGAUAAAUUAAGCUCCUCUAACUCCUCCAUACCUUCUGAAAUCUCUGGAAACAUCUCAAGACUCGUGCAACCAUAAAGGUUAAAGGUUUUGAGAGAUUUCAUACGAAUGCUGCUUGGAAGACUCUUAAGUUCCUUGCAAAGUAUUAGGUUCAAACGAAUCAACCCCGUGAGAUUAUUAAUUGACGAAGGGAGUUCUUUAAUUUUUGACCCGGAUAAAUCAAGCUCUUCUAACUUCUCCAUACCUUCUAAAAUCUCUGGAAACAUCUCAAGAUUGGAGCAGCCAUAAAGAUUAAAGGUUUUAAGAGAUUUCAUACGAAUGCUGCUUGGAAGACUCUUAAGUUCCUCGCAAUGUUCUAGGUUCAAAUGACUCAAUCCCGUGAGAUUAUUAAUUGACGAGGGCAGUUCUUUAAUUUUUGACCAGGUUAAAUUAAGCUCUUCCAACUUCUCCAUACCUUCUAAAAUCUCUGGAAACAUCUCAAGACUAGAGCAGCCAGAAAGAUUAAAGAUUUUGAGAGAUCUCAUACGAAUUUUGCUGGGUAGACUCUUAAGUUCCUUGCAAUCUUUUAGGUUGAAAUGACUCAACCCCGUGAGAUUAUUAAUUGACGGGGGCAAUUCUUUAAUUCUUGACCUGGAUAAAUCAAGCUCUUCUAACCCCUUAAUCACUUCUGAAAUCUCUGGAAAC